GAACUCGGCAAAAUGACUUUGUAACUUCGGGAUAAAAAGUACCAAAUUUAAAAAGUUAAGUGUCACAAAAUAGGGGGUUGCGACUGUUUAAUAAAAACUUAGGGCUCUGCUAAAUGGUAACAUGAUGUAUAGGGUCUGACGUCUGCCCGGUGCUGGAAGAUUAAAAGGAAAUGUUUACGGGCAACCGCCACGGCAACUCUCCAAUUCUGCACAUAAUAACUCCGGAACAAUGAAUGAAAGAGUAUUUACGACGGAGGUGC
rnacentral:ncRNA from 1 species